rnacentral:rRNA from 1 species
GACGGGGGCCCGCACAAGCAGCGGAGCGUUGUGGUUUAAUUCGAUGCUACACGAAGAACCUUACCAGGGUUUGACAUGUUAGUUGUAGGGAACUGAAAAGGGACCGACCCUUCGGGGAGCCUAUACAGGUGUUGCAUGGCUGUCGUCAGCUCGUGUCGUGAGAUGUUCGGUUAAGUCCGCUAACGAGCGCAACCCUCGUCGUAUGUUAUAUGUGUCAUACGAGACUGCCGGUAAAAGCCGGAGGAAGGUGAGGAUGAUGUCAAGUCAGCAUGACCUUUAUAUCCAGGGCUACACACACGCUACAAUGGUCUGUACAAUGGGUAGCCAAGCCGCGAGGCGGAGCCAAUCCUGAAAGCAGGCCUCAGUUCAGAUUGCAGUCUGCAACUCGACUGCAUGAAGCCGGAGUUGCUAGUAACCGCAGGUCAGCAAUACUGCGGUGAAUACGUUCCCGGGUCUU